rnacentral:misc_RNA from 1 species
GUGAAUCAUCGAAUUUUUGAACGCAUAUUGCACUCUCUGAUAUUCCGGAGAGUAUGCCUGUUUGAGGGUAAUUAAAAAGAAUCUUUAAUCUUUUUUUUUUGUCAAAAGAAAUUAGCUCUCCGCGUAUAUAGCGGUAGCUUGAAAUAAAUUGUCAAGUCGGAUUUUAGUCGAGACGCGUAAUAAUAUUAUUUCGCGAAGUCUUCAUCAUGUGACUAUCGAGUUUUGAUGCAGACUAAUUUUCUUUGUAUGCGAUCAAUACAAGUAUUUUGAACAUUACGUCAAAUCAGUUAGG